AAAACUCCCGUCUCUACCAAAAAUACAAAAAUUAGCCGGGUGUGGUAACAUGCUCCUGUAGUCCCAGCUACUAGGGAGGCUGAGAUGGGAGAAUCGCUUGAACCCGGGAGGCGGAGGUUGCAGUGCGCCGAGACCACAUCAUUGAACUCCAGCCUGGGUGACAGAGUGAGACUCUGUCUCAAAAAAAAAAAAAAGUUGUGGUCAUAAAACUUGGUUCAGAUGCCGUCAGCGGCAUGCCUUGCCUAGGGUCUUGCCCUCCUUGUGGCCUCUGCACACCCUGCCUAGUCUUUCCUUCCCUCCUGACCUUUCUGAAUCUGAUUCAUCCUUUUGCCCCAAGCAGAAUCCCACCUUCUCCAGGAAGGUGUUAGCCUUUGUAGGACCCACUCUGGGACACUGGUACCUGCUGCCUGUAGCCGUGGCCUUUCCCCUUCCAGAGGGCAGGGCGGUCUCAGCACCCUCUUGGUCCACAGCUGAUCUUUUUUAGCUGCUGAAGGGUCUGGGGCUGUGCCCUGGGGAAGCCAUGACACUCCCCUGCGUAGGGUCACUGGGUGGCUCCUGCAGCCAGACUUGGACACCCUCCCUUUGCAGAUUUCUGUCUCCUCCCCAGGAACCAGCUGCCUUCCUUCUGGGGCGAAUUCAUUCUUAUCCCACAGCCCCAGCAUAAUGGGAUCUGGCUCAGGGAGGCCUUUCCUGAUCUGCCCUAGGUUUGCCUUCCCUGUGAGCAGCCCUUACUGUCCUCUGCCUUCCCCGUUGAGCUGCAGGGUGACCAUGGUCAAGCAGGAGCCUCAGUGGGAAGGUGCUGAGGAAGGUUCAUGUGAGAAGUGGCUGUGGGAGCCCUCAAGAGAUGGAAGUUAGGCCAGGCGCGGUGGCUCACGCCUGUAAUCCCAACACUUCGGGAGGCAGAGGUGGGCGGAUCACUUGAGGUCAGGAGUUUGAGACCAGCCUGGCCAACAUGGCGAAACCCCGUCUCUACUAAAAAUACAAAAAUUAGCUGGGCUUGUGGCAGGCGCCUGUAAUCCCAGCUACUCGGGAGGCUGAGGCAAGAGAAUCACUUGAACCCAGGAGGCAGAGGUUAUAGUGAGCCGUGAUCGCGCCAUUGUACUCUAGCCUGGGCAACAAGAGCGAAACUCUGUCUCAAAAAAAAAAAAGAAGUGAGAAGUCUGUGGCUGGCCUACUGAGUGUCCGCACAUACACCCCUUACCCCACCUGACUGGUCUUCACAAUCAAUGCUCCCCAACAGCCAGCGGUCCUGGGAGUCCAACCUCCCAGAAGGAUCACCCACUCCCACCACUCUCAAGGUCAGAGCCUGGCCUUUGGGGGAAAGGGCAGUGCUGUCUCCAGGGCCUCUGCACCCAGGGACAGUGUCUGUCCCACCCCUGGAGUGCCAACAGAGUUGGGAGACUCAGCACUGACUUCACCCCAAAAUCCAAGUAAGCUGGGUAUUGCUUAAAAUCAGGGGCCAGGCGUGGUGGCUCACACCUGUAAUCCCAGCACUUUGGGAGGCCGAGGCAGGCGGAUUAUGAAGUCAGGAGUUCGAGACCAGACUGGCCAACAUGGUGAAACCCCGUUUCUACUAAAAAUACAAAAAAUUAGUCAGGCGUGGUGGCACAUGCCUGUAAUCCCAGCUACUUGGGAGGCUGAGGCAGGAGAAUCGCUUGAACCCGGGAGAUGGAGAUUGCAGUGAGCUGAGAUUGUGCCAUUGCACUCCAGCCUGGGCAAUAAGAGCAAAACUCCGUCUCA
rnacentral:lncRNA from 10 species